rnacentral:rRNA from 1 species
AUUGAACGCUGGCGGCAGGCCUAACACAUGCAAGUCGAACGGUAGCACAGAGAGCUUGCUCUCGGGUGACGAGUGGCGGACGGGUGAGUAAUGUCUGGGAAACUGCCUGAGGGAGGGGGAUAACUACUGGAAACGGUAGCCAAUACCGCAUAACGUCGCAAGACCAAAGAGGGGGACCUUCGGGCCUCUUGCCAUCAGAUGUGCCCAGAUGGGAUUAGCUAGUAGGUGGGGUAACGGUUCACCUAGGCGACGAUCCCUAGCUGGGCUGAGAGGAUGACCAGCCACACUGGAACUGAGACACGGUCCAGACUCCUACGGGAGGCAGCAGUGGGGAAUAUUGCACAAUGGGCGCAAGCCUGAUGCAGCCAUGCCGCGUGUAUGAGGAAGGCCUUCGGGUUGUAAAGUACUCUCAGCGGGGAGGAAGGUGUUGUGGUUAAUAACCACAGCAAUUGACGUUACCCGCAGAAGAAGCACCGGCUAACUCCGUGCCAGCCGCCGCCGUAAAAC